GGCUCCUUGGUGAAUCAUAAUAACUUAACGAAUCGCAUGGCCUUGACGACCGGCGAUGGUUCAUUCAAAUUUCUGCCCUAUCAACUUUCGAUGGUAGGAUAGUGGCCUACCAUGGUGGCAACGGGUAACGGGGAAUUAGGGUUCGAUUCCGGAGAGGGAGCCUGAGAAACGGCUACCACAUCCAAGGAAGGCAGCAGGCGCGCAAAUUACCCAAUCCCGAUACGGGGAGGUAGUGACAAUAAAUACUGAUACGGGGCUCUUUUGGGUCUUCGUAAUUGGAAUGAGAAACAAUCAAAUCCCUUAACGAGGACAAUUGGAGG
rnacentral:rRNA from 1 species